UGGGGACCGCCGCCUAAUCGCACACGCAGCGAGCCGGGGAUCCACGUUUCUUCCGGGGUGAAUCCGCACAAUUGCGGUAGGGAUUUCCUUCGUCCCGAACCCGUCAGCUAACCCGACCGGCGGCCGACGGAAGGAAAU
rnacentral:sRNA from 2 species